rnacentral:lncRNA from 1 species
CUGAUGUACUCGGAUCAAUUAUAUUGGCAUCACAAAGCUGUGUAGUCUUUUCAAACAGGUGACAAAGUUUAGUCUGCGAGGAAAUAGAAAAAGCUCUACAGUCAAUGGUUUUUCCACAUGUCUUCGCACAUUCAACUUUCGCAAUUACACCGCUACUGUGUAUAACUUCAGAUUUCAACGGCUGACCUGAAAUGGCUCUACCGUAGAAAGCUGUUCUAUAAAGCUGCGAAGUUGGACCACUUUUGACUUCUCC